rnacentral:rRNA from 1 species
AUUGAACGCUGGCGGCAGGCCUAACACAUGCAAGUCGAGCGGAUGAAGGGAGCUUGCUCCUGGAUUCAGCGGCGGACGGGUGAGUAAUGCCUAGGAAUCUGCCUGGUAGUGGGGGAUAACGUCCGGAAACGGGCGCUAAUACCGCAUACGUCCUGAGGGAGAAAGUGGGGGAUCUUCGGACCUCACGCUACCAGAUGAGCCUAGGUCGGAUUAGCUAGUUGGUGGGGUAAAGGCCUACCAAGGCGACGAUCCGUAACUGGUCUGAGAGGAUGAUCAGUCACACUGGAACUGAGACACGGUCCAGACUCCUACGGGAGGCAGCAGUGGGGAAUAUUGGACAAUGGGCGAAAGCCUGAUCCAGCCAUGCCGCGUGUGUGAAGAAGGUCUUCGGAUUGUAAAGCACUUUAAGUUGGGAGGAAGGGCAGUAAGUUAAUACCUUGCUGUUUUGACGUUACCAACAGAAGAAGCACCGGCUAACUUCGUG